rnacentral:rRNA from 1 species
GCGAACGCUGGCGGCAGGCCUAACCCAUGCCAGUCGAACGAACCUUUCGGGGUUAGUGGCGGACGGGUGAGUAACACGUGGGAACGUGCCUUUAGGUUCGGAAUAACUCAGGGAAACUUGUGCUAAUACCGAAUGUGCCCUUCGGGGGAAAGAUUAAUCGCCUUUAGAGCGGCCCGCGUCUGAUUAGCUAGUUGGUUGAGGUAAUGGCUCACCAAGGCGACGAUCAGUAGCUGGUCUGAGAGGAUGAUCAGCCACAUUGGGACUGAGACACGGCCCAAACUCCUACGGGAGGCAGCAGUGGGGAAUCUUGCGCAAUGGGCGAAAGCCUGACGCAGCCAUGCCGCGUGAAUGAUGAAGGUCUUAGGAUUGUAAAAUUCUUUCACCGGGGACGAUAAUGACGGUACCCGGAGAAGAAGCCCCGGCUAACUUCGUG